CAGCAGCCACGGUAAUACAGAGGGUGCGAGCGUUAAUCGGAUUUACUGGGCGUAAAGCGUGCGUAGGCGGCUUCUUAAGUCGGAUGUGAAAUCCCUGAGCUUAACUUAGGAAUUGCAUUCGAUACUGGGAAGCUAGAGUAUGGGAGAGGAUGGUAGAAUUCCAGGUGUAGCGGUGAAAUGCGUAGAGAUCUGGAGGAAUACCGUUGGCGAAGGCAGCCAUCUGGCCUAAUACUGACGCUGAGGUACGAAAGCAUGGGGAGCAAACAGGAUUAGAUACCCCAGUAGUCCCUGUCUCUUAUAC
rnacentral:rRNA from 1 species